rnacentral:rRNA from 1 species
UACGUAGGGACCAAGCGUUGUUCGGAUUUACUGGGCGUAAAGGGCGCGUAGGCGGCGUGGUAAGUCACUUGUGAAAUCUCUGAGCUUAACUCAGAACGGUCAAGUGAUACUGCUGUGCUAGAGUGCGGAAGGGGCAAUCGGAAUUCUUGGUGUAGCGGUAAAAUGCGUAGAUAUCAAGAGGAACACCUGAGGUGAAGACGGGUUGCUGGGCCGACACUGACGCUGAUGCGCGAAAGCCAGGGGAGCAAACGGG